rnacentral:rRNA from 1 species
CCAAACCGACACAGGUGGUCAGGUAGAGAAUACCAAGGCGCUUGAGAGAACUCGGGUGAAGGAACUAGGCAAAAUGGUGCCGUAACUUCGGGAGAAGGCACGCUGAUAUGUAGGUGAAGUCCCUCGCGGAUGGAGCUGAAAUCAGUCGAAGAUACCAGCUGGCUGCAACUGUUUAUUAAAAACACAGCACUGUGCAAACACGAAAGUGGACGUAUACGGUGUGACGCCUGCCCGGUGCCGGAAGGUUAAUUGAUGGGGUCAGCGCAAGCGAAGCUCUUGAUCGAAGCCCCGGUAAACGGCGGCCGUAACUAUAACGGUCCUAAGGUAGCGAAAUUCCUUGUCGGGUAAGUUCCGACCUGCACGAAUGGCGUAAUGAUGGCCAGGCUGUCUCCACCCGAGACUCAGUGAAAUUGAACUCGCUGUGAAGAUGCAGUGUACCCGCGGCAAGACGGAAAGACCCCGUGAACCUUUACUAUAGCUUGACACUGAACAUUGAGCCUUGAUGUGUAGGAUAGGUGGGAGGCUUUGAAGUGUGGACGCCAGUCUGCAUGGAGCCGACCUUGAAAUACCACCCUUUAAUGUUUGAUGUUCUAACGUGGACCCGUGAUCCGGGUUGCGGACAGUGUCUGGUGGGUAGUUUGACUGGGGCGGUCUCCUCCUAAAGAGUAACGGAGGAGCACGAAGGUUGGCUAAUCCUGGUCGGACAUCAGGAGGUUAGUGCAAUGGCAUAAGCCAGCUUGACUGCGAGCGUGACGGCGCGAGCAGGUGCGAAAGCAGGUCAUAGUGAUCCGGUGGUUCUGAAUGGAAGGGCCAUCGCUCAACGGAUAAAAGGUACUCCGGGGAUAACAGGCUGAUACCGCCCAAGAGUUCAUAUCGACGGCGGUGUUUGGCACCUCGAUGUCGGCUCAUCACAUCCUGGGGCUGAAGUAGGUCCCAAGGGUAUGGCUGUUCGCCAUUUAAAGUGGUACGCGAGCUGGGUUUAGAACGUCGUGAGACAGUUCGGUCCCUAUCUGCCGUGGGCGCUGGAGAACUGAGGGGGGCUGCUCCUAGUACGAGAGGACCGGAGUGGACGCAUCACUGGUGUUCGGGUUGUCAUGCCAAUGGCACUGCCCGGUAGCUAAAUGCGGAAGAGAUAAGUGCUGAAAGCAUCUAAGCACGAAACUUGCCCCGAGAUGAGUUCUCCCUGACCCUUUAAGGGUCCUGAAGGAACGUUGAAGACGACGACGUUGAUAGGCCGGGUGUGUAAGCGCAGCGAUGCGUUGAGCUAACCGGUACUAAUGAACCGUGAGGCUUAACCUUACAACGCCGAAGGUGUUU